rnacentral:rRNA from 1 species
GGGAGGCAGCAGUGAGGAAUAUUGGACAAUGGAUGGAAAUCUGAUCCAGCCAUGCCGCGUGCAGGAAGAAGGUCCUAUGGAUUGUAAACUGCUUUAGUGCGGGAGCAAUAAGGUCCACGAGUGGACCGAUGAGAGUACCGCAAGAAUAAGCAUCGGCUAACUCCGUGCCAGCAGCCGCGGUAAUACGGGGGAUGCAAGCGUUAUCCGGAUUUAUUGGGUUUAAAGGGUGCGUAGGCGGUCUGUCAAGUCGGCGGUGAAAACAGCAUGCUAAACAUGGUGCUUGCCGUCGAGACUGGUGGGCUUGAAUGUGGAUGAUGCCGGCGGAAUGUGUAAAGUAGCGGUGAAAUGCAUAGAUAUUACACAGAAGGUCGAUUGCGAAAGCAGCUGGCAAAGGCACUAUUGACGGUGAGGCACGAAAGUGCGGGGAUCGAACAGGAUUAGAUACCCUGGUAGUCCGCACAGUAAACGAUGAUAACUAACUGUGGGCGAUACACAGUCGGUGGUAAAGAGAAAUCGAUAAGUAUCCAC